rnacentral:rRNA from 1 species
GGAGAAAGCUUGCUUUCUUGCUGACGAGUGGCGGACGGGUGAGUAAUGCUUGGGAAUCUGGCUUAUGGAGGGGGAUAACGACGGGAAACUGUCGCUAAUACCGCGUAGUGUCGAGAGACGAAAGUGCGGGACUGAGAGGCCGCAUGCCAUAGGAUGAGCCCAAGUGGGAUUAGGUAGUUGGUGGGGUAAAGGCCUACCAAGCCUGCGAUCUCUAGCUGGUCUGAGAGGAUGACCAGCCACACUGGAACUGAGACACGGUCCAGACUCCUACGGGAGGCAGCAGUGGGGAAUAUUGCGCAAUGGGGGGAACCCUGACGCAGCCAUGCCGCGUGAAUGAAGAAGGCCUUCGGGUUGUAAAGUUCUUUCGGUAUUGAGGAAGGUUGAUGUGUUAAUAGCACAUCAAAUUGACGUUAAAUACAGAAGAAGCACCGGCUAACUCCGUGCCAGCAGCCGCGGUAAUACGGAGGGUGCGAGCGUUAAUCGGAAUAACUGGGCGUAAAGGGCACGCAGGCGGUUAUUUAAGUGAGGUGUGAAAGCCCCGGGCUUAACCUGGGAAUUGCAUUUCAGACUGGGUAACUAGAGUACUUUAGGGAGGGGUAGAAUUCCACGUGUAGCGGUGAAAUGCGUAGAGAUGUGGAGGAAUACCGAAGGCGAAGGCAGCCCCUUGGGAAUGUACUGACGCUCAUGUGCGAAAGCGUGGGGAGCAAACAGGAUUAGAUACCCUGGUAGUCCACGCUGUAAACGCUGUCGAUUUGGGGGUUGGGGUUUAACUCUGG